rnacentral:misc_RNA from 1 species
UACAGAGGUGGCAAGCGUUGUUCGGAAUUACUGGGCGUAAAGGGCGCGUAGGCGGCCUCGUAAGUCCUUUGUGAAAUCCCCCGGCUCAACUGGGGAACUGCACAGGAUACUGCAAGGCUCGAGUUCGGGAGAGGGAAGCGGAAUUCCGGGUGUAGCGGUGAGAUGCGUAGAUAUCCGGAGGAACACCAGUGGCGAAGGCGGCUUCCUGGACCGACACUGACGCUGAGGCGCGAAAGCUAGGGUAGCAAACGGG